rnacentral:tRNA from 1 species
GGGCCCGUAGCUCAGCCAGGUAGAGCGGCGGAUCCUUGACCCGUAGGUCCCGGGUUCAAAUCCCGGCGGGCCCGCCA